UGGGGAAUAUUGCACAAUGGGCGCAAGCCUGAUGCAGCCAUGCCGCGUGUGUGAAGAAGGCCUUCGGGUUGUAAAGCACUUUCAGCGAGGAGGAAGGUGGUGAACUUAAUACGUUCAUCAAUUGACGUUACUCGCAGAAGAAGCACCGGCUAACUCCGUGCCAGCAGCCGCGGUAAUACGGAGGGUGCAAGCGUUAAUCGGAAUUACUGGGCGUAAAGCGCACGCAGGCGGUUUGUUAAGUCAGAUGUGAAAUCCCCGGGCUCAACCUGGGAACUGCAUUUGAAACUGGCAAGCUAGAGUCUCGUAGAGGGGGGUAGAAUUCCAGGUGUAGCGGUGAAAUGCGUAGAGAUCUGGAGGAAUACCGGUGGCGAAGGCGGCCCCCUGGACGAAGACUGACGCUCAGGUGCGAAAGCGUGGGGAGCAAACAGGAUUAGAUGCCCUGGUAGUCCACGCUGUAAACGAUGUCGAUUUUGGAGGUUGUGCCCCUUGAGGCGNGGCUCCGGAGCUAACGCGUUAAAUCGACCGCCUGGGGGAGUAC
rnacentral:rRNA from 1 species